AUGGACGCUGGCGGCGUGCCUAAUACCUGCCAGUCGCGCGAACAGACGAGGAGCUUGCUCCUCUGACGUUAGCGGCGGACGGGUGAGUAACACGUGGAUAACCUACCUAUAAGACUGGGAUAACUUCGGGAAACCGGAGCUAAUACCGGAUAAUAUAUUGAACCGCAUGGUUCAAUAGUGAAAGACGGUUUUGCUGUCACUUAUAGAUGGAUCCGCGCCGCAUUAGCUAGUUGGUAAGGUAACAGCUUACCAAGGCAACGAUGCGUAGCCGACCUGAGAGGGUGAUCGGCCACACUGGAACUGAGACACGGUCCAGACUCCUACGGGAGGCAGCAGUAGGGAAUCUUCCGCAAUGGGCGAAAGCCUGACGGAGCAACGCCGCGUGAGUGAUGAAGGUCUUCGGAUCGUAAAACUCUGUUAUUAGGGAAGAACAAAUGUGUAAGUAACUAUGCACGUCUUGACGGUACCUAAUCAGAAAGCCACGGCUAACUACGUG
rnacentral:rRNA from 1 species